GAAAACCCCCACAAUGCAAACAAUGAAAGCGUGAUUUUACUAGCAUAAUUUUCAGCAUGAAAGACGAAUUUAACCGGAAAAUAGGUGGUCAGAUCAGUCUAGUUUGUGCAAAAGCUUUAUUCAUAUUGAUAUAAUACUUCUACUUUAGUCCUACAGCCCUACCCUAUUUUUGAAUAUCAGCCAUGUGAGCAUCAUUAUCCAAUUACGACCACAUGAAGAAGGAAGUACAAUGUACUUGAUUUUAUGCUAUCAAAUAUGUUAUCAUGUGAAAGCCUGGAUGGAUAACCAUCUUUGAAGCCGAUCAUGGUGAGAUACCAUGUUAUGUGGUGGCAAAAACUGAAGUUAAGCCAUUUACUUGAACCCAAUAGCACAUGAAACCCACUCAGCAGGUUCAAGAUUAAGCAGUAAGAGAGGACUCUGAGUUACUUGUUAAUGCUAUUAAAUGUUUAGACAAUUAGUCAUUAAGUAUAUCAACUCACCUCCCAAAUAUCAUUGCAGUGAGUGCAGUUGUGCCAGAGGACAGGGAAGGCUUAAGAAAGCAUGAAUUUGCAAAUGCAGCAUCUGUUUUCAAGAAAGACCUUGUA
rnacentral:lncRNA from 1 species